rnacentral:rRNA from 1 species
UACGUAGGGUGCGAGCGUUGUCCGGAAUUAUUGGGCGUUAAGGGCUCGUAGGCGGUCUGUCGCGUCGGGAGUGAAAACUCAGGGCUUAACCCUGAGCCUGCUUCCGAUACGGGCAGACUAGAGGUAUGCAGGGGAGAAUGGAAUUCCUGGUGUAGCGGUGAAAUGCGCAGAUAUCAGGAGGAACACCGGUGGCGAAGGCGGUUCUCUGGGCCGAUACUGACGCUGAGGAGCGAAAGCGUGGGGAGCGAACAGG